rnacentral:misc_RNA from 1 species
GAUGAAGAACGUAGCGAAAUGCGAUACUUGGUGUGAAUUGCAGAAUCCCGUGAACCAUCGAGUCUUUGAACGCAAGUUGCGCCCGAAGCCAUUAGGCCGAGGGCACGCCUGCCUGGGCGUCACACGUCGUUGCCCCCCCAUCUACUCCUUCGGGAUUGCGGGGGGCGGAUGAUGGCCUCCCGUGCGCCUCGUCGCGCGGUUGGCAUAAAUGCCAAGUCCUCGGCGACGCACGCCACGACAAUCGGUGGUUGCGAAACCUCGGUUGCCCGUCGUGUGCGGUCGUCGCGCAUCGAGGGCUCGAAAAAAUUGUCGGGCUCCGGCUCGGCUUUCAACGCGACCCCAGGUCAGGCGGGGUUACCCGCUGAAUUUAAGCAUAUCAAUAAGCGGAAGGA